rnacentral:tRNA from 1 species
GGCGCUGUGGCUUAGUUGGUCAAAGUGCCUGUCUAGUAAACAGGAGAUCCUGGGUUCAAUCCCAGCAGUGCCU